AUGAGGCCAUGGUGCUAUAGCAACAACAGGCGAACGCUGCAUGGGGACAGGAUUCAGGCUAAUGGUUGGAUGCCAUGGCUUGAAGUCCCACCUCAGUAUGUUGGAGAAAGCUGGCGUGAAAUCACUGGGUAUACUGGUCCGUCGAUGACGGAUGGUGUGACUCCGGAAGAUAACGUACAAGAUGAUGGUCUGGCAUCUUUGAAUGAUCAUGUAGCACAGGUGGAAAUGGCUGUAGAGGACAUUGUGCUUGGAUCAAAUAAUAGCAACUUCAGUUUUAUCAGAGGGGCAGCGGAAGAUAUGAAUAUCAGAGUUUUGCCGUUCAAAAAUCUGCUUGCUUUCUUCAGAGCCUUUACCUAUAAAGCUAUGCCACCAAUGAUCAUGAAUGGAGGGCACCAGGAGGAGGAUACAUACAUGUUCUGUAAACAGCUCUAG
rnacentral:rRNA from 1 species